rnacentral:snoRNA from 1 species
AUUUCAUUUCAAAGAGAACUUGUGGGACUGAAUCCAGGAGCUCUUAAUUCUGUAACCAAAGAUUGAAGUUCUCCAUAGGAUGGCAUAGACUCUCAUUAGUGCUUUUUAUUUUUUCCUGAGGGAGAUACAAGA